rnacentral:rRNA from 1 species
UACGGGGGGGGCAAGCGUUGUUCGGAAUUACUGGGCGUAAAGGGCUCGUAGGCGGCCAACUAAGUCAGACGUGAAAUCCCUCGGCUUAACCGGGGAACUGCGUCUGAUACUGGAUGGCUUGAGUUUGGGAGAGGGAUGCGGAAUUCCAGGUGUAGCGGUGAAAUGCGUAGAUAUCUGGAGGAACACCGGUGGCGAAGGCGGCAUCCUGGACCAACACUGACGCUGAGGAGCGAAAGCGUGGGGGAGCAAACAGGG